CCUACGGGAGACUGCAGUGAGGAAUAUUGGUCAAUGGACGAGAGUCUGAACCAGCCAAGUAGCGUGAAGGAUGACUGCCCUAUGGGUUGUAAACUUCUUUUAUAUGGGAAUAAAAUGUUCCACGUGUGGGAUUUUGUAUGUACCAUAUGAAUAAGGAUCGGCUAACUCCGUGCCAGCAGCCGCGGUAAUACGGAGGAUCCGAGCGUUAUCCGGAUUUAUUGGGUUUAAAGGGAGCGUAGGUGGAUUGUUAAGUCAGUUGUGAAAGUUUGCGGCUCAACCGUAAAAUUGCAGUUGAAACUGGCAGUCGUGAGUACAGUAGAGGUGGGCGGAAUGCGUGGUGUAGCGGUGAAAUGCUUAGAUAUCACGAAGAACUCCGAUUGCGAAGGCAGCUCACUGGACUGCAACUGACACUGAGGCUCGAAAGUGUGGGUAUCAAACAGGAUUAGAUACCCUUGUAGUC
rnacentral:rRNA from 1 species